rnacentral:rRNA from 1 species
AGAGUUUGAUCAUGGCUCAGAAUCAACGCUGGCGGCGUGCCUAACACAUGCAAGUCGAACGCGAAAGGGGAGCAAUCCCUGAGUAGAGUGGCAAACGGGUGAGUAACACGUGGGUGACCUGCCUUCGAGUGGGGGAUAACGUCCCGAAAGGGACGCUAAUACCGCAUGACAUCCUGCCUUUGGACAGGCGGAGAUCAAAGCUGGGGAUCGCAAGACCUGGCGCUUGAAGAGGGGCCCGCGUCUGAUUAGCUAGUUGGUGAGGUAACGGCUCACCAAGGCGACGAUCAGUAUCCGGCCUGAGAGGGCGGACGGACACACUGGGACUGAGACACGGCCCAGACUCCUACGGGAGGCAGCAGUGGGGAAUUGUUCGCAAUGGGCGCAAGCCUGACGACGCAACGCCGCGUGGAGGAUGAAGAUCUUCGGGUCGUAAACUCCUGUCGAGCGGGAAGAACGUUUCGCGGAUGAAUAAUCCGCGGAAGUGACGGUACCGCUAAAGGAAGCCCCGGCUAACUCCGUGCCAGCAGCCGCGGUAAUACGGGGGGGGCAAGCGUUGUUCGGAAUUACUGGGCGUAAAGGGCUCGUAGGUGGCCAACUAAGUCAGACGUGAAAUCCCCAGGCUCAACUUGGGAACUGCGUCUGAUACUGGAUGGCUUGAAUUCGGGAGAGGGAUGCAGAAUUCCAGGUGUAGCGGUGAAAUGCGUAGAUAUCUGGAGGAAUACCGGUGGCGAAGGCGGCAUCCUGGACCGAUAUUGACACUGAUGAGCGAAAGCUAGGGGA